rnacentral:rRNA from 1 species
GAUGAACGCUUUCGGCGUGCUUAACACAUGCAAGUCGAACGGAAAGGCCUGUGCUUGCACUGGUACUCGAGUGUCGAACGGGUGAGUAACACGUGGGUGAUCUGCCCUGCACUUCGGGAUAAGCUUGGGAAACUGGGUCUAAUACCGGAUAGGACCACUUCGUUGUUGUUGUGGUGGAAAGUUUUUUCGGUGUGGGAUGAGCUCGCGGCCUAUCAGCUUGUUGGUGGGGUAAUGGCCUACCAAGGCGUCGACGGGUAGCCGGCCUGAGAGGGUGUACGGCCACAUUGGGACUGAGAUACGGCCCAGACUCCUACGGGAGGCAGCAGUGGGGAAUAUUGCACAAUGGGCGGAAGCCUGAUGCAGCGACGCCGCGUGGGGGAUGACGGCCUUCGGGUUGUAAACUCCUUUCGCCAAAGACGAAUUUUGACGGUAUUUGGAGAAGAAGCACCGGCUAACUACGUGCCAGCAGCCGCGGUAAUACGUAGGGUGCGAGCGUUGUCCGGAAUUACUGGGCGUAAAGAGCUCGUAGGUGGUUUGUCGCGUCGUUUGUGUAAGCCCAUGGCUUAACUGUGGGACUGCAGGCGAUACGGGCAUAACUUGAGUGCUGUAGGGGAGACUGGAAUUCCUGGUGUAGCGGUGAAAUGCGCAGAUAUCAGGAGGAACACCGAUGGCGAAGGCAGGUCUCUGGGCAGUUACUGACGCUGAGGAGCGAAAGCAUGGGGAGCGAACAGGAUUAGAUACCCUGGUAGUCCAUGCCGUAAACGGUGGGCGCUAGGUGUGAGUCCCUUCCACGGGGUUCGUGCCGUAGCUAACGCAUUAAGCGCCCCGCCUGGGGAGUACGGCCGCAAGGCUAAAACUCAAAGGAAUUGACGGGGGCCCGCACAAGCGGCGGAGCAUGUGGAUUAAUUCGAUGCAACGCGAAGAACCUUACCUGGGCUUGACAUACACCGGAUCGCUGCAGAGAUGUAGUUUCCCUUGUGGCUGGUGUACAGGUGGUGCAUGGUUGUCGUCAGCUCGUGUCGUGAGAUGUUGGGUUAAGUCCCGCAACGAGCGCAACCCUUGUCUUAUGUUGCCAGCAUUUGGUUGGGGACUCAUGAGAGACUGCCGGGGUUAACUCGGAGGAAGGUGGGGAUGACGUCAAAUCAUCAUGCCCCUUAUGUCCAGGGCUUCACACAUGCUACAAUGGUCGGUACAACGCGCAGCGAGCCUGUGAGGGUGAGCGAAUCGCUGAAAGCCGGUCGUAGUUCGGAUUGGGGUCUGCAACUCGACCCCAUGAAGUCGGAGUCGCUAGUAAUCGCAGAUCAGCAACGCUGCGGUGAAUACGUUCCCGGGCCU